AGUGAACGCUGGCGGUAGGCCUAACACAUGCAAGUCGAACGGCAGCACAGAGGAGCUUGCUCCUUGGGUGGCGAGUGGCGGACGGGUGAGGAAUACAUCGGAAUCUACUCUGUCGUGGGGGAUAACGUAGGGAAACUUACGCUAAUACCGCAUACGACCUACGGGUGAAAGCAGGGGAUCUUCGGACCUUGCGCGAUUGAAUGAGCCGAUGUCGGAUUAGCUAGUUGGCGGGGUAAAGGCCCACCAAGGCGACGAUCCGUAGCUGGUCUGAGAGGAUGAUCAGCCACACUGGAACUGAGACACGGUCCAGACUCCUACGGGAGGCAGCAGUGGGGAAUACUGGACAAUGGGCGCAAGCCUGAUCCAGCCAUACCGCGUGGGUGAAGAAGGCCUUCGGGUUGUAAAGCCCUUUUGUUGGGAAAGAAAUCCAUCUGGUUAAUACCCGGGUGGGAUGACGGUACCCAAAGAAUAAGCACCGGCUAACUUCGUGCCAGCAGCCGCGUAA
rnacentral:rRNA from 1 species